GAUGAACGCUGGCGGCGUGCCUAAUACAUGCAAGUCGAGCGAACAGACGAGGAGCUUGCUCCUCUGACGUUAGCGGCGGACGGGUGAGUAACACGUGGAUAACCUACCUAUAAGACUGGGAUAACUUCGGGAAACCGGAGCUAAUACCGGAUAAUAUAUUUAACCGCAUGGUUCAAUAGUGAAAGACGGUUUUGCUGUCACUUAUAGAUGGAUCCGCGCCGCAUUAGCUAGUUGGUAAGGUAACGGCUUACCAAGGCAACGAUGCGUAGCCGACCUGAGAGGGUGAUCGGCCACACUGGAACUGAGACACGGUCCAGACUCCUACGGGAGGCAGCAGUAGGGAAUCUUCCGCAAUGGGCGAAAGCGUGACGGAGCAACGCCGCGUGAGGGAUGAAGGUCUUCGGAUCGUAAAACUCUGUUAUUAGGGAAGAACAAAUGUGUAAGUAACUAUGCACGGCUUGACGGUACCUAAUCAGAAAGCCACGGCUAACUAAGUG
rnacentral:rRNA from 1 species